UACAGAGGGUGCAAGCGUUGUUCGGAAUUACUGGGCGUAAAGCGCGCGCAGGCGGAUCCUGUAAGUCGGAAGUGAAAUCUCACUGCUCAACGGUGAGACUGCUAACUGAUACUGCGGAUCUGGAGCCGGUAGAGGCUGGUAGAAUUGCAGGUGUAGCGGUGGAAUGCGUAGAGAUCUGCAAGAAUCCCGUGGCGAAAGGCCGGCCAGGCUGGGCCGGGUUCUGACG
rnacentral:rRNA from 1 species